rnacentral:lncRNA from 1 species
GCAUCGAAAUUAGGUGAGAUGGCAUAACAGUAAAAGAGGGGAGUGCCUAUGCGAUCUCAAGCCCCCAAAGCUCUAAUGAUACCCAUCUAGGGCAACCUAUCCCCACAAACAUGUUCCACAUAUCUACAAAUCUUGGAAUACAACAAAACAGACUAACCUUGUCCUUGAAUUGUUUAACCAUAGCGUAGAAUUAUUUAGCCAGGACAUAAAUGACUGAGACCAAAGCUGCAUAAAAUCCAAAUCAAUCCAACCUUUAAUAAAUCUGCUCGUGUCUACAUUUUAAACUAGUUUGAGUGUAAAUAAGAGUGGCUAGAUAGUUGUGUAUGAUGCAAGUCUAACUUGACAGUACCUUUCCAAAUUGCACCAAUGUUUAUAUCUCAGAUUAGGUCAAAUGUUCAUUUGUACGUUUAGAACUAGGCCAAAUGUGAACUGGAAUAGUUCAAAUCCCCGAGUGUGUGUGUGUGUGUGUGUGUGUGUGAUGCAAGUGUGGCUCAACAUAAUCUUCUUUAAAGAAAAAAAAAAAAAAAAUGGAUCUGCUAUCUUUUCCCUACCAUUUUAUCAAACACCUGUAACGUACCAGAGCAGCCCAUCUUUUACCUACCCAAAUGAAACGAACUGAAGGUCNNNNNNNNNNNNNNNNNNNNUGUGUGUGUGUGUGUGUGUGAUGACAAGUGUGGCUCAACAAUAAUCUUUCUUUAAAGAAAAAAAAAAAUGGAUCUGCUAUCUUUUCCCUACCAUUUUAUCAAACACCUGUAACGUACCAGAGCAGCCCAUCUUUUACCUACCCAAAUGAAACGAACUGAAGGUCUUCAUGAAGGCAGACCUUCUCAACCAUUUUGCCGAACUUCUAUUUCUCCUUUGGUCAGCAAGCCUUGAUCCACGCAUACAAUGUUCG